rnacentral:rRNA from 1 species
CGGGUGCUACCAUGCAGUCGAACGGUGAAGCCCAGCUUGCUGGGUGGAUCAGUGGCGAACGGGUGAGUAACACGUGAGCAACCUGCCCUGGACUCUGGGAUAAGCGCUGGAAACGGCGUCUAAUACUGGAUAUGAACCACGAAGGCAUCUUCAGUGGUUGGAAAGAUUUUUCGGUCUGGGAUGGGCUCGCGGCCUAUCAGCUUGUUGGUGAGGUAAUGGCUCACCAAGGCGUCGACGGGUAGCCGGCCUGAGAGGGUGACCGGCCACACUGGGACUGAGACACGGCCCAGACUCCUACGGGAGGCAGCAGUGGGGAAUAUUGCACAAUGGGCGGAAGCCUGAUGCAGCAACGCCGCGUGAGGGAUGACGGCCUUCGGGUUGUAAACCUCUUUUAGCAAGGAAGAAGCUUUUGUGACGGUACUUGCAGAAAAAGCGCCGGCUAACUACGUGCCAGCAGCCGCGGUAAUACGUAGGGCGCAAGCGUUAUCCGGAAUUAUUGGGCGUAAAGAGCUCGUAGGCGGUUUGUCGCGUCUGCUGUGAAAUCCCGAGGCUCAACCUCGGGCCUGCAGUGGGUACGGGCAGACUAGAGUGCGGUAGGGGAGAUUGGAAUUCCUGGUGUAGCGGUGGAAUGCGCAGAUAUCAGGAGGAACACCGAUGGCGAAGGCAGAUCUCUGGGCCGUAACUGACGCUGAGGAGCGAAAGGGUGGGGAGCAAACAGGCUUAAAUACCCUGGUAGUCCACCCCGUAAACGUUGGGGAACUAGUUGUGGGGUCCUUUCCACGGAUUCCGUGACGCAGCUAACGCAUUAAGUUCCCCGCCUGGGGGAGUACGGCCGCAAGGCUAAAAACUCAAAGGGAAUUGACGGGGAACC